GAUGAACGCUGGCGGCGUGCCUAAUACAUGCAAGUCGAGCGAACAGACGAGGAGCUUGCUCCUUCGACGUUAGCGGCGGACGGGUGAGUAGCACGUAGGUAACCUACCUAUAAGACUGGGAUAACUUCGGGAAACCGGAGCUAAUACCGGAUAAUAUUUCGAACCGCAUGGUUCGAUAGUGAAAGAUGGCUUUGCUAUCACUUAUAGAUGGACCUGCGCCGUAUUAGCUAGUUGGUAAGGUAACGGCUUACCAAGGCAACGAUACGUAGCCGACCUGAGAGGGUGAUCGGCCACACUGGAACUGAGACACGGUCCAGACUCCUACGGGAGGCAGCAGUAGGGAAUCUUCCGCAAUGGGCGAAAGCCUGACGGAGCAACGCCGCGUGAGUGAUGAAGGUCUUCGGAUCGUAAAACUCUGUUAUUAGGGAAGAACAAACGCGUAAGUAACUGUGCACGUCUUGACGGUACCUAAUCAGAAAGCCACGGCUAACUACGUG
rnacentral:rRNA from 1 species